rnacentral:piRNA from 1 species
UAACAGUUUAGAGCUGAGCAGCUUC